GUUAAGCGACUAAGCGUACACGGUGGAUGCCCUGGCAGUCAGAGGCGAUGAAGGACGUGCUAAUCUGCGAUAAGCGUCGGUAAGGUGAUAUGAACCGUUAUAACCGGCGAUUUCCGAAUGGGGAAACCCAGUGUGUUUCGACACACUAUCAUUAACUGAAUCCAUAGGUUAAUGAGGCGAACCGGGGGAACUGAAACAUCUAAGUACCCCGAGGAAAAGAAAUCAACCGAGAUUCCCCCAGUAGCGGCGAGCGAACGGGGAGCAGCCCAGAGCCUGAAUCAGUGUGUGUGUUAGUGGAAGCGUCUGGAAAGGCGCGCGAUACAGGGUGACAGCCCCGUACACAAAAAUGCACAUGCUGUGAGCUCGAUGAGUAGGGCGGGACACGUGGUAUCCUGUCUGAAUAUGGGGGGACCAUCCUCCAAGGCUAAAUACUCCUGACUGACCGAUAGUGAACCAGUACCGUGAGGGAAAGGCGAAAAGAACCCCGGCGAGGGGAGUGAAAAAGAACCUGAAACCGUGUACGUACAAGCAGUGGGAGCACGCUUAGGCGUGUGACUGCGUACCUUUUGUAUAAUGGGUCAGCGACUUAUAUUCUGUAGCAAGGUUAACCGAAUAGGGGAGCCGAAGGGAAACCGAGUCUUAACUGGGCGUUAAGUUGCAGGGUAUAGACCCGAAACCCGGUGAUCUAGCCAUGGGCAGGUUGAAGGUUGGGUAACACUAACUGGAGGACCGAACCGACUAAUGUUGAAAAAUUAGCGGAUGACUUGUGGCUGGGGGUGAAAGGCCAAUCAAACCGGGAGAUAGCUGGUUCUCCCCGAAAGCUAUUUAGGUAGCGCCUCGUGAAUUCAUCUCCGGGGGUAGAGCACUGUUUCGGCAAGGGGGUCAUCCCGACUUACCAACCCGAUGCAAACUGCGAAUACCGGAGAAUGUUAUCACGGGAGACACACGGCGGGUGCUAACGUCCGUCGUGAAGAGGGAAACAACCCAGACCGCCAGCUAAGGUCCCAAAGUCAUGGUUAAGUGGGAAACGAUGUGGGAAGGCCCAGACAGCCAGGAUGUUGGCUUAGAAGCAGCCAUCAUUUAAAGAAAGCGUAAUAGCUCACUGGUCGAGUCGGCCUGCGCGGAAGAUGUAACGGGGCUAAACCAUGCACCGAAGCUGCGGCAGCGACGCUUAUGCGUUGUUGGGUAGGGGAGCGUUCUGUAAGCCUGUGAAGGUGUGCUGUGAGGCAUGCUGGAGGUAUCAGAAGUGCGAAUGCUGACAUAAGUAACGAUAAAGCGGGUGAAAAGCCCGCUCGCCGGAAGACCAAGGGUUCCUGUCCAACGUUAAUCGGGGCAGGGUGAGUCGACCCCUAAGGCGAGGCCGAAAGGCGUAGUCGAUGGGAAACAGGUUAAUAUUCCUGUACUUGGUGUUACUGCGAAGGGGGGACGGAGAAGGCUAUGUUGGCCGGGCGACGGUUGUCCCGGUUUAAGCGUGUAGGCUGGUUUUCCAGGCAAAUCCGGAAAAUCAAGGCUGAGGCGUGAUGACGAGGCACUACGGUGCUGAAGCAACAAAUGCCCUGCUUCCAGGAAAAGCCUCUAAGCAUCAGGUAACAUCAAAUCGUACCCCAAACCGACACAGGUGGUCAGGUAGAGAAUACCAAGGCGCUUGAGAGAACUCGGGUGAAGGAACUAGGCAAAAUGGUGCCGUAACUUCGGGAGAAGGCACGCUGAUAUGUAGGUGAAGUCCCUCGCGGAUGGAGCUGAAAUCAGUCGAAGAUACCAGCUGGCUGCAACUGUUUAUUAAAAACACAGCACUGUGCAAACACGAAAGUGGACGUAUACGGUGUGACGCCUGCCCGGUGCCGGAAGGUUAAUUGAUGGGGUCAGCGCAAGCGAAGCUCUUGAUCGAAGCCCCGGUAAACGGCGGCCGUAACUAUAACGGUCCUAAGGUAGCGAAAUUCCUUGUCGGGUAAGUUCCGACCUGCACGAAUGGCGUAAUGAUGGCCAGGCUGUCUCCACCCGAGACUCAGUGAAAUUGAACUCGCUGUGAAGAUGCAGUGUACCCGCGGCAAGACGGAAAGACCCCGUGAACCUUUACUAUAGCUUGACACUGAACAUUGAGCCUUGAUGUGUAGGAUAGGUGGGAGGCUUAGAAGUGUGGACGCCAGUCUGCAUGGAGCCGACCUUGAAAUACCACCCUUUAAUGUUUGAUGUUCUAACGUUGACCCGUAAUCCGGGUUGCGGACAGUGUCUGGUGGGUAGUUUGACUGGGGCGGUCUCCUCCUAAAGAGUAACGGAGGAGCACGAAGGUUGGCUAAUCCUGGUCGGACAUCAGGAGGUUAGUGCAAUGGCAUAAGCCAGCUUGACUGCGAGCGUGACGGCGCGAGCAGGUGCGAAAGCAGGUCAUAGUGAUCCGGUGGUUCUGAAUGGAAGGGCCAUCGCUCAACGGAUAAAAGGUACUCCGGGGAUAACAGGCUGAUACCGCCCAAGAGUUCAUAUCGACGGCGGUGUUUGGCACCUCGAUGUCGGCUCAUCACAUCCUGGGGCUGAAGUAGGUCCCAAGGGUAUGGCUGUUCGCCAUUUAAAGUGGUACGCGAGCUGGGUUUAGAACGUCGUGAGACAGUUCGGUCCCUAUCUGCCGUGGGCGCUGGAGAACUGAGGGGGGCUGCUCCUAGUACGAGAGGACCGGAGUGGACGCAUCACUGGUGUU
rnacentral:rRNA from 1 species